rnacentral:lncRNA from 1 species
AUGGGACAGGGGCGGGGGCCGGGGAGUGGGCUGUGGGGCAGGACUGAACCCGGAGGGGCAGGGGGGCAGGGGGCAGGACUGGACCCGCAGGGGCAGGGGGGCAGGGAGCAGGACUGGACUUGGAGGAGCAGGGGGACAGGAGACAGGACUGGACCCGGAGAGGCAGGAUGGCACGGGGCAGGGGGCCGUGGAGGGGGCUGUGGGGCAGGACUGGACCCAGAGAAGCAGGGGGACAGGGGAGCUGGGGAGCAGGAGGAAGUGAGUAAGGGGGCCGGGGAACCAGAGGGCGAGGAGGCAGGAGACCCGGGGGGUCAGGGGACAAGGAGGGGGAGGCCGGAGGGCGGGGGUCGGGCAGGGGCCGGGGCCGCAGGACGGAGCGGCGGCCGGGCUCGGGGCGCCUCCGGGACGGGCAGAGGUGCCCUCGGCGGGACGCGCGCAGCCCCUCGGCGGCUGACGGCGGCGAACCCACGCCCACCCCAAGGGCACCCGCGCCGCCAAGGCAGGGGGCGGCACGGGGAGCGGGCAGGCCGCCCGAGACCCCACGUCCGGACGCAGCGGGCAACUCCCGCGGCGCGCCGAGACCCCAGCCCGGCAGGGAGCCGGAGCGAGGCAGAGGCAGCCUCCCCGACCCGGCCCCGCACGCUCACCCGCCUGCGUCGUCGGCGGCCGGCAGUGCGCUCUGGGCAGCAGAGGCCGGCCCCGCCCGCGGAGCCGGGCGUCCUGGGAGCUGAGCAGCCGACCGGCCGAGCGACAGCGGGGCAGAGGAGCCGAGGAGCCGAGCGGACGAGCGGCCUAGCGGGCCGAGGAGCCGAGGGGCGGAGGAGCCGAGAAGCCGAGAACCCAGGGAUCGAGCCGCUGCAGCCUCCGCGGCGCGAAGCGUCCGCCCGAGGCCCCGCCCCUCGCCCGCGCAGGGCCCGGCCCCGCCCCCGGCCGGCUCAGGCCCCGCCCCCGGCACGUGAUGCGGCGGCUCCGGGUCUCCCGGCUCCCCCCCCCCGCUCCAGAGUCGGCCUGCGUCCCGGCCCGGCGUAG